UAAUCCCAUAAAACUAUUCUCAGUUCGGAUUGUAGGCUGCAACUCGCCUACAUGAAGCCGGAAUCGCUAGUAAUCGUGGAUCAGCAUGCCACGGUGAAUACGUUCCCGGGCCUUGUACACACCGCCCGUCACACCACGAGAGUUUGUAACACCCGAAGUCGGUAGGGUAACCUUUAUGGAGCCAGCCGCCGAAGGUGGGACAGAUAAUUGGGGUGAAGUCGUAACAAGGUAGCCGUAUCGGAAGGUGCGGCUGGAUCACCUCCUUUCUAAGGAA
rnacentral:rRNA from 2 species